UAACGCGUGGGUAACCUGCCUCAUACAGGGGGAUAACAGUUAGAAAUGACUGCUAAUACCGCAUAAGCGCACAGUGCUGCAUGGCACAGUGUGAAGAACUCCGGUGGUAUGAGAUGGACCCGCGUCUGAUUAGCUAGUUGGUGGGGUAACGGCCUACCAAGGCGACGAUCAGUAGCCGGCCUGAGAGGGUGAACGGCCACACUGGGACUGAGACACGGCCCAA
rnacentral:rRNA from 1 species